rnacentral:misc_RNA from 1 species
UCCGGCUUAUCACCGGCGGUUUCUUUAGAGUGCCCAACUAAAUGAUGGCAACUAAAGACGAGGGUUGCGCUCGUUGCGGGACUUAACCCAACAUCUCACGACACGAGCUGACGACAGCCAUGCAGCACCUGUGUUACCGUUCCCUUUCGGGCACGUCCACCUCUCAGCAGACUUCGGUACAUGUCAAGGGUAGGUAAGGUUUUUCGCGUUGCAUCGAAUUAAUCCACAUAAUCCACCGCUUGUGCGGGUCCCCGUCAAUUCCUUUGAGUUUUAAUCUUGCGACCGUACUCCCCAGGCGGUCAACUUCACGCGUUAGCUACGUUACCAAGUCCGUUAAGACCCGACAACUAGUUGACAUCGUUUAGGGCGUGGACUAC